AAAAGUAGUUAUGGUAUACAAUGUGGCUACGCUUUAUUGGUGAUGCAGUAGCAUUGAAAAGCGUAGCCUAUUCUGGCAAAAAUGGAAGCUGAAAAGCGUAGCCUUUGGUCCUAGACAGCAUCACUUGAAAAGCGUACCCUAUUCCCAAAUGCCAAAAGCGUAGCCCUUGGUACAGAAAAGCGUAGCUUUUGAGAAUAGGCAACGGCCGAAUAGGAAUCACCCCAGAAAGCGUAGCCGUAGCCUAGGGCAUCAUUUUUUUCACUUUUGGCUACACUUUUCAAGUGUACCUGAAUGGGUAUUUUUCUUGUAGUGUAUACUUGACCCAUAUCACACGACUUGUCCAGCCGAUGAAAGAAAGAACAUAAUUAUAUUCGCUGGACAUGUAAUUUCAAGAAUGAGAGUAUAUGCUGGGGGGCACCUCUGAAGAAAGACGAUCAGAAAAUUCAUACACCAUACAUUAACAUCUCAGGCCAAAAGACAAGCUAUGACUGUGCUAUAUAUGUAAUGAAGUGGCUUGAGAUAAUUCAAUCCGAAAACAUUAAAAGGGGGAAGUAUGAGUGGGACAACUGGACCCAGGACGAGGUGGACCACUAUAGAGUAAAAUAUGCUUCCCGGAUUCUAUUCCAGGAAAUGAAUCAAGACAAAGCUGAAGCCAUUAGGGGAAGUGAUGCAAUAAGACUGUCCAAGUCAUCCUCAUUGUUAUUGAGUUCAUAUUGUCAGAUAAAUUCUAAUGAUAUUGACACUGAUUAAUGUAACUGUUAUAUAGUCUUGUAAGAAAUUGAACACAUGCUGUAAAUAUAUUUG